rnacentral:lncRNA from 10 species
GCUGACUGCUCUACCAUGUGAAACGGAUUCUCAUUGUCCCAGUGUUAGGGCUUGUAAAUGGAAACCAGUUUGGGUUUCUUCACGGAUUCCUGCUUUCGGUACCUGACAUUCUGCCCUCCCUCAAAGCCCUUCUGUCUGUUCCAGCUUGGGAGUCUGCUUGUCCAAUCCAGUGCAUACCCGGUUUUUCAUGCAUGUGGCAUUCAGGAGCAAUGCUCGUGUUUUAAGACGGCUACAUUUUAAUUUUGAGCUGAGGGAGUCUCGGUCUCUUGCCCAGGCUGGAGUGCAGUGAGGCGAUCUCGGAUCCCUGCAACCUCCGCCUCCCGGAUUCAAGUGAUUCUCCUGCCUCAGCCUCCCGAGCAGCUGUGACUACAGGCGUGUGACACCACACCCGACUAAUUUUUGUAUUCCCAGUAGAGAUGGGGUUUCACCACGUUGGUCAGGAUGGUCUCAAACGCCUGACCUUGUGAUCCUUCAGCCUCAGCCUCCCACGGUGCUGGGAUUACAGGCGUAAGCCACUGCACCUGGCCGGGACUUAGAUUUAUAUUCCCUGAAGUAAUACAGGGCCUUAGAUGGAAUAAACGAUUUAUAUUGGUGCUAAUUGGGCAGAAAAGAAAAAGCAUUGCUGUAAUAUGAAUGUUGAUGACUUUAUGUUCUGAAAAAUAGUCUGGGUCAAAGUGAAACAUUUAAUUGUGUUCAUUAUUCCUGUUUCUUUGAGGAAUAGACUAUCCUGCGUUAAAUUCUACAUUGUUAAUAUAAACUCAAGAGCUAUGUGAGCAGUUGUAAAUGAUCCCAUUUAAACUGAUUGUUGCAUAAUUUAUACUGAUUACAGAAACCACAAUGUUAUUUGAUGCUCACCCUCUAAAAUUUAAAAUAAUAUCUCUCACUUUAAAAUGUAUGUGAAAAAAC